UACGUAGGGGGCAAGCGUUGUCCGGAAUCAUUGGGCGUAAAGAGCGUGUAGGCGGUCCGGUAAGUCGGUUGUGAAAGCCCAGGGCUCAACCCUGGGAUGCCGGUCGAUACUGCCGGACUAGAGUUCGGAAGAGGCGAGUGGAAUUCCCGGUGUAGCGGUGAAAUGCGCAGAUAUCGGGAGGAACACCUAUGGCGAAGGCAGCUCGCUGGGACGUUACUGACGCUGAGACGCGAAAGCGUGGGGAGCAAACAGG
rnacentral:rRNA from 1 species